GAGUUUGAUCCUGGCUCAGGAUGAACGCUGGCGGUAUGCUUUACACAUGCAAGUCGUACGAGAGUUUUUAACUCAAGUGGCGGACGGGUGAGUAACACGUAAGAAUUUGCCUUUAGGAGGGGGACAACAACUGGAAACGGUUGCUAAUACCCCAUAUGCUUUCGAGUGAAAUGGAUUUUUCCGCCUAGAGAGAAGCUUGCGGCUGAUUAGCUUGUUGGUGAGGUAAUGGCUCACCAAGGCGACGAUCAGUAUCUGGUUUGAGAGGACGAUCAGACACACUGGAACUGAGACACGGUCCAGACUCCUACGGGAGGCAGCAGUGGGGAAUUUUCCGCAAUGGGCGAAAGCCUGACGGAGCAAUACCGCGUGAGGGAUGACGGCCUAUGGGUUGUAAACCUCUUUUUUCAGGGAGGAAUAAAAUGACGUGUACCUGAAGAAUAAGCAUCGGCUAACUCCGUGCCAGCAGCCGCGGUAAGACGGAGGAUGCAAGUGUUAUCCGGAAUCACUGGGCGUAAAGCGUCUGUAGGUGGUCCAAUAAGUCAACUGUUAAAUCU
rnacentral:rRNA from 1 species